AAUGAUUUAACUAGAAUAAACUUAGCAAAGAGAACUUAAGCUAAGCACCCCGAAACCAGACGAGCUACCUAUGAACAGUUACAAAGAACCAACUCAUCUAUGUC
rnacentral:rRNA from 1 species